GAUGAAUGGUGUAGGUGACCAGACUAAGGUUAGCUUUGUUUACCUAGUGGCUGUGACCCUAGGCACUAUGGUUGUCCAGGGGAUGAGGGUGCAGCCAGUUGGUAUGACAUCAUCAGACAUUGAUACAGGGCUGAUGUAGAUGUCUGCGGGCACCUUGUCGGUCCAGAACAGUCUGUCACGUCUUAGGUGUAGGAUCUACAGCUUCUAACUUUAAAACCAAACAUGGAUUCUCCUGCUGAAAAAGACUCCAAUUCAACAGACUCGUCAAAAGACUCCAAAGAGAAUACAAAGGACAGGAAAGGUUCCUCAAGCAGUGACAGUACUGAGGCACAUGGUGCAUCUCCUCAGCCAAAACCCACCAAAUCAAGUGUUGAGCCUAAGACAAAUGGUAACCAUACAACUCCAAAACGAGAUCUGACAGCACCAACAAAGAGUAGCUCGGCGAAGGUGAAACCUGUAGCUCCAAAGAAGCCAUUACCGACACCUCACAAAACUGAACCUGUUAAAAAGACUGAGAAAUCAUUGAAAAACGGCUCGGGUAAAAAGAAAACAAGCUCGUCAGAAUCUUUACAGGAAUCUGAGUCCAAGUCAAACAAGGAGAAGACCAUUCCACCAGAGGACAAAGUGGUGGACGACGUGUCAGUCAAUGGUAAAACACAGAAGUCUGCUCCGAAGUCAGACUCUCUCAGUCCUCAAAAGUCGACUCCACCAGCAGACGCAACAAGUUCUCAAACCAGUUCUACCAAUGAUGACCGCCCAGGUGACCAUUCAAUAACACCUGGAGAAACAGUCGACCAAUCAGUAGCCUCCUCUCAUCACCCCUCUGUUGCUGCCGCUGAUACCACACGCAGUAUGGCUUCCUGUGACCCUCACACCAUUGCUGGCAUCAACCCAGAGACUACUGAACGCAUGAUAAUUAGUAAGGGCAAGGUCAAGUACAUCAACUUAAUCUACAAGAAGGUUGAGGCCAAGAUUUAUGACUACAAGUGUGACGUUAAACUCCUGGUUGGGAAGGAACAUUUCCGUGCUCAUCGAGAUGUUCUUUCAGAUGCGAGUGACUAUUUUGGUGCAAUGUUCUCGCACGAUAUGAAGGAGAAAGGACAGGACACUAUAGAACUGAAGGAAAUCAGUCCCAAGGGCAUUACUGUGAUGCUUGACUACUUUUACCAUGGAUACAUCACCGUGGAUACCACUAACAUUGAAGACAUCAUAGAAGCUGCACGCUUCUUCCAUGUCGAGUGGAUAUUGGAGGUUAGCUGUGAUUUUCUGGUCCAGUGUAUGAGCAUUGUAAACUACCCUGCCGUUCUCACAAUGACCGAUAAAUACACUCUUGGUGACCUGCGAUAUGAAAUCCUUGUGUUUUUCAGCCGUAAUCUAGAAGCCUUGUCUAAGGAAGAUGACUUUUAUACAAAUUUGCCUUAUGAACUUUUGUUACAGUUUCUCAUGGAUGAUAUCUAUAUUGAAUGCUCUGAAUAUUUCUUGGUUCAGAACUUGUUGAAGUGGUUGGCAGUAGAUCCAGUUGGGCGUAAGGACCAGUUUCAAUCCCUUGUGAGGCAAAUCCGCUUCUUUCUGAUGGAGGCGGAAGAAUUGGAGGCACUCCCUGAGGAUGUGACCAAAAUUGCAGGGUUGAAGGAGGAGAUUAAAGAAGCCAUUAAUCACAAUCUCAACAUCAUGGGUCAGUGUCUUAAAUGUGGAGAGAAGUACAUCCCCAGGGGCUGUAGAUCUGUUGCCACCAUCUUUUCCUUCUCAGAAGAAGGUUAUUUCAUUAUUUACCGAGAUCCAUCCAAGCCUGGCCUCACCAUGGAACAACUUGGACCCUGUGGAUUGGACACCACAGACUACCAGGCAAUGUCACAAGCAAAGAUUGGUAACUUCCUGUAUGCAGCUGGGGGUUAUGAUGAAAACUUCUCAAGUACGCCCCGAAUGUUUCGGUUUGAUCCCCGUUUCAGGGAUUGGACGGAGGUAGCUCCCAUGAAUGAACCCCGUGUCUCUUUCUGCCUGUGUAGUUCUGACCAUGACUUGUUUGCUGUUGGAGGUGUUCAUCGUGUUCACAUUGAUGAUGACAAUGAACCGGAGACUAUCCUUGACUCAGUAGAGAUAUACUGUCCACAAGACAACCAGUGGACCAACACGACCCCCAUGCCCAUCAAGGUGUUCGACAUGGCUGCAGCCUAUUACAACGGCUCUCUGUAUGUCUGUGGCGGCAUUAGUGCUGACCCACACCACCCCUGUCCCUUGGGGGCAGUCUAUAGUCUCAAGGUAGGUGGUGAUGAUGGGUGGGUCAAGCGUACAGACAUGAUAACUCGUCGUCAAGGACACAGUCUAACUCCCUACAAAGGAAAACUCUAUGCCAUAGGAGGUUACAGCAUGCCUGAAACUCAUUUCAGUGAGUGUUACGAGAAUGAAGUGUACGACAUAGAAACCAAUCAAUGGACUCAGUUUACCCCCAUACCGAUCGAGUACGGCCACCUGUAUCGUCAUAAUGGCAUCCUGAACGGGGUCAUCUUCUUUCUUGGAGGAGACACCCCUGAAGCAUUUCUGUACAUGUAUGACAUAGACGCUGACCAGUGGGAGGAGGUAGAACAUGUGGGAAGUAACGUCCAGAAACUCGCAGUGCUGGAUGUGGCUUACCCAUAAACCAACACUAGACGUCAUGGCAUGAGAGUCCACCCAGUAUCGCUACUAAUACUGUACAGUUGAUCCACUCACACCAAUAUGAAUACAUACGUGUUACCUACCCUGCCAUUCCAGCUAGGGGUGCUCCUACUGUAGGAGGGAACUUACAGUACAAGACAAGACAUGACAAGACAAGACAUGGCAGUUGAAUGAAUAUCCAGAAACUAGUCGCGCUGGAUGUGGCUUAUCGAUAAACCCACACCUGUCAUCAUUUCAACAAAUGGAGAGCUCUUUUGUUUUUAUCUACAAGACCUUCUUGUCAGCAAUUUUAAUGUCUUCUCAAAAUGGCAUUCAGUAUGCAAUGCAAUGGCGUAAAAGUGACAACUUUUUUGGUCUGAUUGAUUCUGUAUACAAGAAAAUGCUGUAAAGUAUUUGGAUCUGACUGGUUAGCAUUGAUAGUCUCUAUUAGCUUAUGGCUUUUUCUGCACAAAUAAAAAUUGAGUUUUAUAUACAAAUUACACUGCUAAAGGGCCUGUCACACACUGCUGAUGUACCUCACGGGGACUAAACCGGAGCAAAAUAUUAACAGCGAGAAAACUAACGAUGAACUACCGAUCUUAUCGAUGUGGUACCAUUGCGCUGCGCUACUAGUACCAAUUCCGGGAAAUCACCAAACUUGUGCUCCGGUAUAGCUCCGGCAACCAAAUCGGCUAGUUGUGACAGGGCCUUAAAUGAUAAAAUAUCUGCCAGACAAUUGCCAUAUUAACUUAUAAACUGUAGGUUAGGAUAAAACAUCUUAGUAGUUGUAUACAGAUAUGCUAAGUAAACUAAUAUCUAUAAAUUCUGUCUAUUAUCUUUCAAACCAUCUAAUACAGCUAUAUCUUUUAUGGACAGGAAAGAUUGUAUGGGAGGAUUGUAAGGCUAGACAGUGUACGUUUGUGUUUUGCGAGUCACUGGCAUGGCUCGUAUCUAUAGUCAUAAGUCUAACAGGUUGUUACACCUCAAGCCAUUUUUGUUUUUGUGUGGAAGCUUUCUGUAAGCUUGUAUGUGUGACUGAGAGGUUGAGUUCAACUUUGUUCAUCUGAAAAAUUGAGAUGUUUCCUACCAUUAGGGUUCUAUCCCUCCAGUCACCUGGGUUUAGUCACGGACUAUCUACAGUAAAUGUGUCAGUCUGGAGAUCUCUGACUGUGAUGGCCUUUCCUUUCUGUCAAGUUAAAUGCAUAUUCAAUGUUAUCUGAAUUUAUAUAAAUGUACAAUGUAUGUUUUAAGAAUCUAUACCCAAUAUUUUUGUAUGGUUUAUACUUCUGUAUACACUGUUUGUUUAAAACAUCUAUAAACAAUGUUUUUGUUUUAAACAACAGUUGAUAGCUUUUGCCUUCCACAUCAUUAUACAAUGUAUGUUUUCAAACAGCUAUUGAGUUAACAAAGUAUGUUUACAACAACUAGCUACAAUGUAUGUUUACAACAACAAGUUACAAUGUAUGUUUACAACAACUAGCUACAAUGUAUGUUUACAACAACAAGUUACAAUGUAUGUUUUCUACAGUGUUUAGUUUCAAAAUACAAAAACUGUACCUGCAUGUGGUUUAACAUUCGUUAGAUAUGCUAAUGUUUUUAACAUCGGUAUAAAUGUUAAUUUCAAAUUGUAAUAAACUAGUCCAGAUUUUUAACAUCCACUACAACUCACAUUCUGUUAAAUAUUGUCAAAUAACAUAAAAGUGUAUGAGCUAACAUGUGCUACAGUUAAUUAGUUGUUAUUUUUGCUCAAUUUUCAUUGGACGAAAGAUAUUGUAAGAGAUUUAUUAUUAAGCAAUUUUUGAAGCAAAUGCAAUAUAGGGUUGAUAAGUAAGGAGUUGAUGUAUAGAAUGUCUGUGCCAACAGAGAUGUGUCUGUUAGAUGGCUUAACUCGAACAAUUUUAUGAGUUCAAAGUUUCAUUUCCAAAAAUGUAUGACCACCACAAGGUAUUUCAACCCAAUGUAUCAUCAUUAAAAACUGAGUUCAGUCAUAUGUAUGAAUGUUUGCUUGCUUUACAUGUAGAAUCUCGUCGCAUUUUAUUUUAGAUGUAUUUUAUUAACCGUUUAUAAAUGCGUUCACCUUUUAGUUCACGUUUAUUCCAAUGCUAAUGCUUUUUAGUUGGUACAUAUAUUUAUGUAAAUUAGUAUUAAUUUUGAUUUUAGCUGUACUUUAACUUCCUGUUGAUACAUAAAGAAUAUACAUGAUUAUUGAUUUACAUUCCAUGCCUUUAACAUGAAGAUGUACAUGCAAUCUGUAUGAUUUAGCUUUUGUUCGAGUUGUUGAUUGUUGUGGAGGGAUCAAUAUAUAUUUGUAUAUUUACCAGACAGAACAAAAAAUGUAUGUUAUUUUUAGUAAGUAAGACAAGUAUAUACAAUAAAACGUGUUUAUAACUUUGAAGUCUUAGGGUAAUGAUCACAAAUCUAAAACGUCAUGUCCUACACCGUUGUGUUGAUCACUUUUUGGAUUGUUGUAUCAAUUAUCAAUAAAAAAAUCCCGUUUCUAUAGUCCUGUCAUUCUGAUAUUUCCUUGGAUUUCAAAACUUUUGAAUGAGUAAUGUCCCUCAAUAAAAAUAAAAGCCUGUUAUCAGAAUCAUGUUAUAAACCUGUUUUACUGUACUGUAUGUAGGUUGUGAAAUGGAUAAUCAUGUUUGGAGUGUACACUAAUUAUCUGCAAGAGUUUAUCCUCAUUUCUUGGUGUUUAACGUAGUUCUCACAAAAAUGUCCUUUAUAUAAACUAAAUCUUGCCAAUUGUGUUUCUGCGUUUCCUAUUUUCUUUAUUGUUUUCUAUCUACGGUAUAGUGAUUAUAAAAAUGUAUUUAUGUACAUUAUAUUAAUGCUGUGUAUUUGAUACACUAAUCAAACAUUUUCUUUGAACAUUUCACUUGUGCAGAUUAUCAUUUAUAUAUUGUUUGGCAAUUUAUUGUCCGUUUAUUCUUGAAAUUCCACACUUCAGUGAAAUUGAUUUUCAAGUAGACCACCACACGGGGUGGUCAGAUUGUAUAGACAUUGUCUAGUGGACCACCACACGGGGUGGUCAGAUUGUAUAGACAUUGUCUAGUAGACCACCACACUGGGUGGUCAGAUUGUAUAGACAUUGUCUAGUAGACCACCACACGGGGUGGUCAGAUUGUAUAGACAUUGUCUAGUAGACCACCACACUUGAUGAUCUGAUUGUAUAGACAUUGUCUAGUAGACCACCACACUGGGUGGUCAGAUUGUAUAGACAUUGUCUAGUAGACCAUCACACUUGAUGAUCUGAUUGCAUAGACAUUGUCUAGUAGACCAUCACACUUGAUUAUCUGAUUGUAUAGACAUUGUCUAGUAGACCAUCGCACUUGAUGAUCUGAUUGUAUAGACAUUGUCUAGUUGACCAUCACACUUGAUGAUCUGAUUGUAUAGCCAUUGUCUAGUAGACCAUCACCCUUGAUGAUCUGAUUGUAUAGACAUUGUCUAGUAGACCAUCACACUUGAUUAUCAGAUUGCAAAGUUGAUAGUUCAUUCACCUUUCACCAAGUUGGCCUUGGUUCAAUUCCUUGAUAUGACUUUGGUCACCUACUUUAUGGCGUUGGUUAUUUUUGUUCUAGGUAAUCCAGUUUCCUCCUACAUUUACUCUUUUUGAGCUUUCAUUCAAGCCAUCGAAAGUGAUUAAUAUAUAUAAAUUUGAAAAAUUUGAUUCAUGAUUGUUGUAAAAUAAAUAAAGCUUAUGUCUUUAUUUGUAGUAGAUCACUGUCAUGGUACAAUGUCCAGAAGACCAUCGGACAGAAGUGACUAUUUUCACCAAAGCACCCAGAGAAUUUGUUCCGGGAAAAUAGCUUGACACUGUAAAAUUAAAGCACUGUACGUUUCAUGUCUCUGUGGAGAUAAAUAUCAGUUGAUAUCUGACAAUGUAUUACUACAGAAUGACCUACCUUUACCUGUUUGUAGCCUCGAAAAUUACACCAGAGAGGAGGCUGGUAAAUGUUCUAUCUGUGUACUGUGUGGUUUAUAUGUUGUAUUUACUUCUAAUUAAUUAUGUAAGUGCCUGACAGAGCAAAAAUGUCUAGAAAAAGUGGUAGGGAAAGUCUCUUUGCCCUUCAAGCAGUUGUCUGUAAGGAGGUGGAGUCUCUUUGCCCUUAAAGCAGUUGUCUGUAAGGAGGUGGAGUCUCCUUGCCCUUAAAGCAGUUGUCUGUGAGGAGGUGCUAGUGGCCAGGUACAGAAAGGUUUGGUCGGUUUGUGCUGUACGUCCAUUUAACAUCUAUGGUCGUUUAAGGACAAGCAAGGUUUUGGUGGUAGAGGAAAACCAGAGUACCUGGAGAAACUCCACCAACCUGUGGCCAGUACCUGGAGAAACUCCAUCAACCUGUGGCCAGUACGUGGAGUUUCUCCACCAACCUGUGGCCAGUACCUGGAGAACUCCACCAACCUGUGGCCAGUACCUGGAGAAACUCCACCAACCUGUGGCCAGUACCUGAUGACUGCCCCUCUUUGGCUACCACAUACCCAAAAGACUGCUGAGGGUUGAAUGUACAAUGAAGGCAGGGAAUGAUUAUUUUUCUCCCACCCUUAAAAAGGAUGAUUAGACGAAAAAUAAUACUUUCUUUGUAUGCCAACUGCUCAUGAUCAGCUUGAUGAAAUCACAUGAUGAAAUGUUUUCAUGGUGAUACCACAAGCAUGUAUAGCUCGUCUAUACCCGGGGGGGGGGGGGGGGGGGGGAAAAAAAANUCACUAGAGUGAGAGUCAUAUCGAUGAAGAGUAGGAAAAUCAAACUUUAUUAGUACUACAGAUUAACUCAUUCACCCCUGAAGACACAUUUGAACUCUUCCAAUUCAAAGGUUGGAAUAGUCCAUUAUGAUAUUUUCAGAGGUGAAUGAGUUGAUGACAUGUUGUUAUACAGCUAGAGCUGAAAUGAUUUUGGUAUCCAAACAUUUGUUGUAUUCGUAUAAUACAAAUUGGCCUGUCGGACAUCUCCGCAGUCCUAAGGCAGAUGUUUAGAAGACUUGCAUUACCAGAUAGACAUCGACAGUGUUCCAAGUGCAAUUGAUGAGAAACACAACCUAAGAAUGAGAUUAAGACUGGACCUCCUGUCCUGCAGUGUUUGCCUUACAUUGUCUGUAUUAUUAAAUCAGUGAUAUAAAUGUACAUCACAUAUAUUUUAUUUAAAGCCUGAUUUGCUUAAAAAAUAAACUUAUACAAAAGCU
rnacentral:misc_RNA from 1 species